CCAUUUUCCGUUGUACAUUUAAUACAAAACAAAAUAAACCGCCUUCGAAAAUCGAAAUCAAACAAAAACGAACAGCUUGCAAGAAAUUGUUGUCACCAGACAUUCGAAAUCAUUUCCAGAUUUAGAAAGCCAAUGAGAAAACAGGACGAGUUCAAGUCGAGUGCGUGCUGGCCACGUGCUCCAGAAGUUGCUGUCUAAUGACUUUAAUAAUAUGCAAACAGAACUAUGGCCGACAUCUAAAUAUUUCUCACUAAUAUAAUAUUUUACAGUUAAUCAAUGAAAUGCCAUAACUGCACAAGUGAGAAAAACCAAUAGUUUGACAAAAGCUUGGAAUGACUGAUUAUAUAAAAC